rnacentral:tRNA from 1 species
AUUUAAUUAGUUUAAGAAAAAAUAUUGAUUUGUGGAGUCAAAGUUAUAGUUUAUACAUGUAUAUUAAAUU